GGACAGUCAUGUGUAGUAGCACAGUGCCUGGUGUGUGGUGAGCUCACAGAACAACUGCCAAUAUCACAUGGAUCUCUCCCUGCACGGUUAGUCUUCUCUUCCUGGAAGCACCAGUCCCAGGGUGACCAAUGGCUUGGCUCUACCAGGUACACAGCAGCUUGGGGUCCGGCCUGGGGGUGUGAGGAAAAGCCCCUGCUCCCACCAUUGGAAACCUGCCCGCUGAGCUUCUUUCCUUCUUGCUUGAAAGUGCUCUAGAGUUUCUGUGCUCACAAUGCAUCUCUUUGGAAGUCUGCCCUCCCAGGGUUGCCAUGGUGACUAUUUUGGUACUGCAUGCUAGAAAAAGCCGAGGCACCUGCUGGUCACACCACCAAAACUUGUCUCUCUGAAAAAUCAGCAGAUGGCAUUUGUCAGAAAUUCCUACUUCUUGAUUAAUUUGGGAAAAAGAAGAGUGUGUGGUAGUGCUGAUAUCCUUUAACCUGGACUGGCUAUGUUGGUGUUUUGGGGAAGAUGGGAAAUAGCUGUGCACAAGCCCCAUGAGCUUCCUCUGCAGUGGUGGGUCAUUUAGUUUUCCCAGAGAGGCUCAGAAGUUUGGUGAUUUUAAUUCUAGUAGAUGAAAACAAGAGGAAGACCAUGAUGUCGAUUUCCUAUUAAGAGGGCUUGGGAUUUCAGGGCUAGUUCUAGAAAGGCCCAUACAUCACUUCUAGUAACCUCCACAAAUUCUCAGACAUGACUCAGGCUGGGUCCAGCUUUUAAUUAGCAUAAAGGGGAAGAAUUCUGAGUUUAUUCAAAUCCCAGGUCUGCCACCUAUUAAUUGUGUGACCUUAGUUCAGUCUCUCAGUCCACCUAAACCUUGGUUUCCCCAUCCGUAAAACAGUGAUGAUGAUAGUGUUUAUCUCACAAGAUUGCCAUGAGGAUUAUAGAAGAUAGUUACCAUCACCAUCAUCGUUAUUGACUAGAAUUAAAUAUAGGCAUGGAGGGAUUGACCCAUCUAAAUGUUCAUGUGGUUUUUACACAUAACUGCGCUCAUGAAAAUAAAUCUAUUAAUCGGACUAUCUAAGCA
rnacentral:lncRNA from 1 species